rnacentral:lncRNA from 1 species
CCUUGGGGUGAAGUAUCAGUGCUAAUGGGAAAGUGAGAUGCUUAAAGGAGAAAAGUCAGCAAGGCAAUGAAGAAAUAUUAUGAGAUUGAAGAAACUCACAUCCAUAGACUGGGUCAAUAAACACUGGGAAGUUGAAAUGGCUGGCCAAAGUCAUACCCCAUGGAAAGCUGUGUAUCUUGCUUGUAUUAUAAUCGAGUCCUACCUCCGGUCUUGGAGAAAACCAAAGACAAAGGAACCAUCUUCUUCCCUGAGGUCAACAAUGGAAGGAGAUGUAGAAGACACCAAAACAAGAACUCGGCAGGCUCAGGACAUGACAACGGAAAAACAGAGGACAGUUAGUGCCGUAGACUCUGACCAGCUUGGUUUGUGACUCACUCUCUCUACUGGUGGGAAGUAGAAUCAUGACCAGAAACCUUGAUCUUGAGGAGAUCAAAAAACACAGAGCAAAGAUCAAGAACAAGGGGAGUAGGAGCAAGAAAAACUCAAGCAUCCCUGCCGCAGUAGAGGAGAAAGUUACAAAGGAGUAGAGGUAAACCUGAUGCCCAGAAAAAAGAACACCGAUAUGGAUCAAGGAAGGAUUGAAAGACAGUAAAGGGCACACUAGGACUCUGUACAAAGAGGGAGAGAAGAUACAGCCUCUUCCUAUGACACAGUUUACAGGACCUCAUUCGCACUCCAAUGACAAUGAAAGGAAGGGGGUGUUGGGCAGAGAAGCAAAGAGCUCCGGUUCUCACCAUCACACGGUAGCGGUGUAAGUUUGUUCCCAACAUACCAGACAGAGAGCAACUCUCACCAGAGAAGAUCCCAGUGUGUUUUAUGCUAGAUCUGACUUUAAUUAAGGUAGACAACGCUCCCAUCAGUGCUGGAAUUGGCCCCAGUAACUUGCUUUAACUGAUGGAAUGUUACCAAACACAACAUGAUCAAAGGCUUGAGAGAUGAUUUCCCUCCUGUGCUUCCGCAAUUACCAUGGAAUGAACAUGGCCUGGUGGUCCCUGAUCCCCAAAGAAUGACGGACACCUGGAAAAAGCUUGGAGUAACAGAUUCAU